CUUAUCAAGAAGCUAUUGGAUCAAAGUUGAUACCAACCCCCGCCGCCUCAUCGAUCUUGAAACGAGGUCUGCCAUUACUGAAAAAUGGCGACUAAAAAUGGCUCCUAGCAACAAAAGAUCGAAGCGACUGCAGAGCCUGCAGCAGUCUACCAUCUUUAUCUUCGUUUAUUCGCAGUUUCAAAAGAAAACAAAAAACAAACAAAUCAAAACCCGAUUACCACAGUAUAUUCAUCAAUUCUCACCGUUGCCUUCGAUCACAGAAGCCAAACCUCCAAUAACUUUACCAACAAUCUUCGAGGUUUUGGGUUUGAUUUCCAAUGGAUCCCAUUGCUUCACGUUUUGAUCAGGGAGAAAGCCACUUGGCUUUCACAUAAUCAGCUCUUCUCCACGGCGGGAAUGGCAUCCCUUUCUUCUUCAUGCUCAGUUUCGCAGCAUCCGUAACAAUGUUUAUGAUCUUCAAGAGACGAUCGGUUUUACCCAUGAAGAUAUCGGGAAGCAUUUGGAGAACAGCUUUGUAGCUUUUUGUUGAUCUUGCGAUUUCAAACUCUGAUCUGAAAUCUAUGUCGAUUAUAUAACGAUCGCCUUCUAUAAUAGCAUCGAUAUACUCGUGCUCCCCUGUUCAUAACAAAUCCAGAACAAACAUUCAGGAUCAAUGAAAUCAAAUCGAAUUACAAAGUUUUACA